rnacentral:rRNA from 1 species
GUCUAGCCUGCUCACUGACAAAAAGUGUUAAAUAGCCGCGGUAUUUUGACCGUGCAAAGGUAGCAUAAUCAUUAGUUUUUUAAUUGGAAACUUGUAUGAAUGGUUGGACAAAGAAAAGACUGUCUCUUUUAUUAAAAUUGAAAUUAACUUCUAAGUGAAAAGGCUUAGAUUUUCUAGAGGGACGAUAAGACCCUAUAAAGCUUCAUAAGUUAAAUAAAUUAGAUGGAUUUUUAAAAUAAAAGUAAAUUUAGUAAGCUUAUUUAGUUGGGGCGACAAGGGUAUAAAAUUAAAUAACUGCUAUUAAGGUUAGACAAUUAUAUUUGGUUGGAUUGUAAUUGAUCCUCGCUAUGGAUUAAAAGAUUAAGUUACUUUAGGGAUAACAGCGUAAUUUCUUUUAAGAGUUCUUAUCAAAGGAGAAGUUUGCGACCUCGAUGUUGAAUUAAAAUGUCUUUAUAGUGCAGAAGCUAUAAAAGAAGGUCUGUUCGACCUUUAAUUUUUUACAUGAUUUGAGU